AGCAGCCGCGGUAAUUCCAGCUCCAAUAGCGUAUAUUAAAGUUGUUGCAGUUAAAAAGCUCGUAGUUGAAUUUCGGGAUCAGUACGCUGGUCGUGCCUCCGGUAUGUACUGGUGUCACUGAUUCCUCCCUUCUGAAGAACCAUCAUGCCAUUCACUUGGUGUGGUGGGGAAUCAGGACUGUUACUUUGAAAAAGUUAGAGUGUUUAAAGCAGGCUCGCGCUUGAAUACAUUAGCAUGGAAUAAUGAAAUAGGACGUUUAUCCUAUUUUGUUGGUUUCUAGGAUUGACGUAAUGAUUAAUAGGGAUAGUUGGGGGCAUUAGUAUUCAAUUGUCAGAGGUGAAAUUCUUGGAUUUAUUGAAGACUAACUACUGCGAAAGCAUUUGCCAAGGAUGUUUUCAUUAAUCAAGAACGAAAGUUAGGGGAUCGAAGACGAUCAGAUACCGUCGUAGUCUUAACCAUAAACUAUGCCGACUAGGGAUCGGAUGAUGUUAAUUUUAAUGACUCAUUC
rnacentral:rRNA from 1 species